rnacentral:pre_miRNA from 1 species
UAGCCAAGGAUGACUUGCCUGAUUUCCUAGCAUUUUGGGUUGUGGCUUGCAACAAUCUUUAUACAAAUGUAACCCUUGAUGCAGGUUCUCAGGCAGUCUCCUUGGCUAA